rnacentral:rRNA from 1 species
UUGAACGCUGGCGGCAUGCUUUACACCUGCAAGUCGCACGGUAACAGGCCUUCGGGUGCUGACGAGUGGCGAACGGGUGAGUAAUGCAUCGGAACGUGCCCAGAGGUGGGGGAUAACGCAGCGAAAGCUGUGCUAAUACCGCAUGUGAUCUGAGGAUGAAAGCGGGGGACCAAGCAGCAAUGUUUGGCCUCGCGCCUCUGGAGCGGCCGAUGUCAGAUUAGGUAGUUGGUGGGGUAAAGGCCUACCAAGCCGACGAUCUGUAGCUGGUCUGAGAGGACGACCAGCCACACUGGGACUGAGACACGGCCCAGACUCCUACGGGAGGCAGCAGUGGGGAAUUUUGGACAAUGGGCGCAAGCCUGAUCCAGCAAUGCCGCGUGCGGGAAGAAGGCCUUCGGGUUGUAAACCGCUUUUGUACGGAACGAAAAGGCUCUGGCUAAUACCUGGGGCUGAUGACGGUACCAUAAGAAUAAGCACCGGCUAACUACGUG